AAAGGGAGUUUAAAAUCUCCUCUAUUAUCAACUUUAGAUCCCUCUCUCCAAUCCUAAACUCUCGUCUCUAAGUGUAGAGAUGUCUGCGUCCAAAAGUUUCUCACUCUAAAAGUCUGUGUCUAGGUAAAACAUAAAAAACCCUAAUAAAUGUCUAACAGGCGGCCAUGGACUCAUGGUGCAAAUCUUGCAACUUCUAGGCAAAACUCGUGAUUUCCUUAAAUCAUCAUUAAACUUUGGAGAUGGCUCGCUGUCGAUCGACGUUGUUAAUGAUCUGUCGAUCGAUGUUUUAUUCAAUAAUCGACUCCGCUUUCAUGUUUUCAGCAAUGCUUUCAUAAAAACUCCAAAAUUGCCCUAAAAUCACCACUUUACUCCAACAGGUACAUGAACCUGUAAAUACUCUAAAAGAUUCCAAAAUGCAUAUAAAAGACUCUAAAAACAUAUAUAAAUCAUGGGUAAAAUUGCGUAAAAUUCAAGGCAUAUCAACUCCCCCAGACUUAUCCUUUUGCUUGUCCUCAAGCAAAAUUUAGGACAAUUUUCUGAAAAAGGUUUAGAAAACAGCAGGGAUUUACAAAAUUUAAAACUACUACUCUCACUUAUACAAAUAUGAUAGGUAGAAAUGAAUCAUUACUAACAUUGGAUGAUUCAAUGUACUACACUCUAGCUUAGUCACCAUUACCAUAUAUCACACAACUCCACUGAUAGCGUCUAACAUACCCCUUCACU
rnacentral:lncRNA from 1 species